rnacentral:misc_RNA from 1 species
AAUCCGACGACAAAAAUCUUCCAUUAACUUGAGUAACUUCCCCUGUUUCCUCCAACCUCUGAAGGGCAUUUUGGGAAAAAGUGAAAUAACUAUCGUUUCCAUUGAAGUAAAGGGUAUUCGAAUCAAAAUGGAAUUUUCCAUUACCGGAAGUUAAAUUUGUUCCGGUGAUGUUCUGGGUCGGAAGAUAAGUAUCAGUUGGGUUCAAAAAACUGUUCCAGUUUCCAUAAACCAAGUUUCCAUCUUCUUGUAGGAAAAGAACAGAGGAGGUGUUUCGAAUACUUGAAGGCCAUAAAUUUGGAGCUGAAGAAGAUGAAGAUGGGGUUAAUUUGAGUUCACCGGAGGAAGAAAUGAAAAGGGUAGCUGAGGAAUUAAGUGGGAAAUUUG